ACAUGCCUACAACAUAGCCUUAAUGCACCAUAUUUCAUUAUAACUCCGCAGUUAAGCGCGCUCAGGCUAGAGUUGUACUAGGAUGGGUGACCGCUCGGGAAGUCCUAGUAUUUUACAUGCC
rnacentral:rRNA from 1 species